CCUACGGGUGGCAGCAGUGGGGAAUAUUGCGCAAUGGGCGAAAGCCUGACGCAGCGACGCCGCGUGAGGGAUGAAGGUCUUCGGAUCGUAAACCUCUGUCAGCAGGGAAGAACGGUCACUGUACUAAUCAGCAGUGAAUUGACGGUACCUGCACAGGAAGCACCGGCUAACUCCGUGCCAGCAGCCGCGGUAAUACGGAGGGUGCGAGCGUUAAUCGGAAUUACUGGGCGUAAAGCGCUCGUAGGCGGUAUGUCAAGUCAAGGGUGAAAUGCCCGGGCUCAACGUGGGCACUGCCUUUGAAACUGGCAAACUGGAGUGUGUGAGAGGAUAGCGGAAUUCCAGGUGUAGGAGUGAAAUCCGUAGAUAUCUGGAGGAACACCAGUGGCGAAGGCGACUAUCUGGCACAUAACUGACGCUGAGGAGCGAAAGCGUGGGUAGCAAACAGGAUUAGAUACCCGGGUAGUC
rnacentral:rRNA from 1 species